rnacentral:rRNA from 1 species
GAUACACCUGUACCCAUGCCGAACACAGAAGUUAAGCUUCUUAGCGCCGAUUGUAGUGAAGGGUUUCCCUUUGUGAGAGCAGGACGUCGCCACGC